GAUGAACGCUGGCGGCGUGCCUAAUACAUGCAAGUCGAGCGAACAGACGAGGAGCUUGCUCCUCUGACGUUAGCGGCGGACGGGUGAGUAACACGUGGAUAACCUACCUAUAAGACUGGGAUAACUUCGGGAAACCGGAGCUAAUACCGGAUAAUAUAUUGAACCGCAUGGUUCAAUAGUGAAAGACGGUUUUGCUGUCACUUAUAGAUGGAUCCGCGCCGCAUUAGCUAGUUGGUAAGGUAACGGCUUACCAAGGCAACGAUGCGUAGCCGACCUGAGAGGGGGGGCGCCCACAGGGGAAGGGGAACGGGCCCCAAACGCCGGGGGGGGGAGCAGGGGGGGAAGCUCCGGCAAGGGGGGAGAGCAUGACGGAGCACGCCGGGGGGAGUGAAGAGGGUUUGGGGAUCGAAAAACUGUUUUAUGGGGAAAAAAAAAAUGUUAAAGAAAAUGUGCCCGUUUUGACGGUACUUAACAAAAAAGCCCCGGCUAACUACGUG
rnacentral:rRNA from 1 species